rnacentral:rRNA from 1 species
CGGGACACGUGGUAUCCUGUCUGAAUAUGGGGGGACCAUCCUCCAAGGCUAAAUACUCCUGACUGACCGAUAGUGAACCAGUACCGUGAGGGAAAGGCGAAAAGAACCCCGGCGAGGGGAGUGAAAAAGAACCUGAAACCGUGUACGUACAAGCAGUGGGAGCACGCUUAGGCGUGUGACUGCGUACCUUUUGUAUAAUGGGUCAGCGACUUAUAUUCUGUAGCAAGGUUAACCGAAUAGGGGAGCCGAAGGGAAACCGAGUCUUAACUGGGCGUUAAGUUGCAGGGUAUAGACCCGAAACCCGGUGAUCUAGCCAUGGGCAGGUUGAAGGUUGGGUAACACUAACUGGAGGACCGAACCGACUAAUGUUGAAAAAUUAGCGGAUGACUUGUGGCUGGGGGUGAAAGGCCAAUCAAACCGGGAGAUAGCUGGUUCUCCCCGAAAGCUAUUUAGGUAGCGCCUCGUGAAUUCAUCUCCGGGGGUAGAGCACUGUUUCGGCAAGGGGGUCAUCCCGACUUACCAACCCGAUGCAAACUGCGAAUACCGGAGAAUGUUAUCACGGGAGACACACGGCGGGUGCUAACGUCCGUCGUGAAGAGGGAAACAACCCAGACCGCCAGCUAAGGUCCCAAAGUCAUGGUUAAGUGGGAAACGAUGUGGGAAGGCCCAGACAGCCAGGAUGUUGGCUUAGAAGCAGCCAUCAUUUAAAGAAAGCGUAAUAGCUCACUGGUCGAGUCGGCCUGCGCGGAAGAUGUAACGGGGCUAAACCAUGCACCGAAGCUGCGGCAGCGACGCUGAUGCGUUGUUGGGUAGGGGAGCGUUCUGUAAGCCUGUGAAGGUGUGCUGUGAGGCAUGCUGGAGGUAUCAGAAGUGCGAAUGCUGACAUAAGUAACGAUAAAGCGGGUGAAAAGCCCGCUCGCCGGAAGACCAAGGGUUCCUGUCCAACGUUAAUCGGGGCAGGGUGAGUCGACCCCUAAGGCGAGGCCGAAAGGCGUAGUCGAUGGGAAACAGGUUAAUAUUCCUGUACU